GCCUGCUUAGCUCAGUGGUAGAGCAUCUGUUUCAUAAGCUGAUUGUCACUAGUUCAAAUCUAGUAGCAGGCA
rnacentral:tRNA from 1 species